AUUGAACGCUGGCGGCAGGCCUAACACAUGCAAGUCGAACGAGUGGCGGACGGGUGAGUAAUGUCUGAGAAACUGCCCGAUGGAGGGGGGUUACUACUGGAAACGGUAGAUAAUACCGCAUACCAUCGGAUGUGCCCAGAGGGGAUUGGCUAGUAGGUGGGGUAACGGCUCACCUAGGCGACGAUUCCGAGCUGGUCUGAGAGGAUGACCAGCCACACGGGAACUGAGACACGGUCCAGUCUCAUACGGGAUGCAGCAGUGGGGAAUAUUGCACAAUGGGCGCGAGCCUGAUGCAGCCAUGCCGCGUGUAUGAAGAAGGCCUUCGGGUUGUAAAGUACUUUCAGCGGGGAGGCGUUACCCGCAGAAGAAGCACCGGCUAACUCCGUGCCAGCCGCCGCGGUAAUAC
rnacentral:rRNA from 1 species